UGGGGGAUAUUGCACAAUGGGCGAAAGCCUGAUGCAGCGACGCCGCGUGGGGGAUGAAGGCCUUCGGGUUGUAAACUUCUUUUGCUCUGAACAAGGCAUGCCUUUGGGGUGUGUUGAGUGUAGGGGUUGAUUAGCGCCGGCUAACUACGUGCCAGCAGCCGCGGUAAUACGUAGGGCGCGAGCGUUGUCCGGAAUUAUUGGGCGUAAAGGGCUUGUAGGUGGCUGGUUGCGUCUGUCGUGAAAGCUCAUGGCUUAACUGUGGGUUUGCGGUGGGUACGGGCUGGCUUGAGUGCAGUAGGGGCGGCUGGAAUUCCUGGUGUAGCGGUGGAAUGCGCAGAUAUCAGGAGGAAUACCGGUGGCGAAGGCGGGUCUCUGGGCUGUUACUGACGCUGAGGAGCGAAAGCGUGAGGAGCGAACAGG
rnacentral:rRNA from 1 species